GCCAAGCCCUGGGGGAGUUGCCAGACUGAGAGUCCCUUUUUUUGCGGGACAACCCUUCGAACCUGAUCCGGGUCAUUCCGGCGUAGGGAAGCGGCGCGUAAACGACA
rnacentral:ncRNA from 2 species